CUGUGGGCCACCAAAAGACAACAUCCAUUACUCCACUUUACAGGCCAAGAUGCUAAGUCAGAAAGGCCCACGUUUUGGCAAUAACCUACCAUUCUUAGGUCCUAAUUGACCCCUUGGCCAACGACUAGGACCAAGGCAGAAACAAGAACCUGGAUCCAGGAACCUGUGGUCAGCCAACCACCGCCUCAGGCAGCCAAUCCGAGGACACCUUGUCAUCUGGCUUGAAGCAAGAAUAGGCAGAUUAACCCUUCAAGGCUAGACAACGCCAGUCCUAGAGACAACGGAUCACUAACAGAAGCCGGAGGCCAGGCGAGGGAGGCUCCUGUAGGAGUUGUUGUUCUAGACACCGUGUGGCUUGGAUGCAAGACAAAGAAAUCAGGCCCGGGCACUUCCUCCCUGCCAGCUGGUCUUCUAAGGGCCCUGUGAUGCCCAGAGGGCCACUGAGUACGUACGGGCUGCUCCUGCCCAGCCGUGAAUUCCGGUGAUUCUAAGACCAGGCAAGAUUCACCCAUACGUGAAACGGUAGCACCACUGUUAUGAGAUCACCAGCUGCUCUCUGAUUGGAUUCGAGGCCUCUAGGCCCUUUUAUAAGGACCUUCAUGGGACUGCUCAGUGGUUAAGAGCACUGACUGCUCUUCCAGAGGUCCUGAGUUCAAUUCCACAUGGUGGCUCAACCAUCUGCAGUGGGAUCCAAUGCCCUCAUCUGGUGUGUCUGAGGACAGCUACAAUUACUCACCGACAUUAAACAAAUAAAAUAAAAUAAAUAAGGACCUUGCUAGGCAACUACUCUACCCCUGAGCUACAGCCCAAAGCUUUUGAAAAUCUGAGUCAGAGUCUCACCAAGUUACUCCAGUGGACCUCAGUUGAACUCACUGUGCAACCCAGGAAGGCCUUGAAUUUGCCAUCCUGUCCUAGCUUCCUAAGUGGCUGGGACAGCUUCCAGUCAACAGGCUGCUACUGAUGGAGAGUUUUUCUCCUCAGGGGGCACUGAGUUUCAGCCAAUGCUCUCUCUGCAUCUCUUGAGAGGACUGUGAUGUUACUUCCAUAGUCCAUUGUUGGGGAUGGCUGUAACAUUAGCUGUUGUUGACAUAACAAAGUAUCUCCCUGUUGCUGAAGCUCUGGUUCCUUACGGACUCUGCAGGGUGGAGAUCAGGUAUGGGCCCCAAGAAAGCAAAUAAGGUUUGGGGAAGGCAUGUUUUGUCUUGGAGCCUCUGGUAGAAUGCCUCCAUCCCCACACCUCUGGCUUCUUGUGGCCACUGUACCCUUUGCUCCGGGCCCCUUUCGUCUCCGGAACAAGGGACAAGCUACGAACAAUUCACAGAGUCUCACGUCCUUCCACAUCCCCAUUACGUCUCCCCUCGCUGCUUCCCACCUCCAGUCUCCUUUAAGAUUUAUCUGACAUGCGCAGGCGCUUUGGUCUGCACGUAUGUCUGUGCAGCAUGCGCUGCUCGGUGCCCGCGGAGGAGGCCGGAAGAGGGCGUCAGAUUCCCCAGAGCCAGAGGCUGUGAAACCACCAAACCCAGGUCCUCCUCUGCGAGGGCAACGCCUACUCCAACAGCCAUGUCAUCUCUCGGGCCCCUCCACCCCUCACUUUCUACGGAUCCAGGUGACAUUAUCUCAACUUAAGUCAUCCACUGUAAAGUCUCCCUGGGGCUCUAACCCUCCUCGCCCGUAUCAUGUGACCUUCUGGCAAGUUCCGAGGACUGGGCCGCGGGCGGCGGCCGCUGGUGUCUUUAGGGGAGUGUUAGCCUGCGGUCACAGUUAUGCUGCACUUCUGUUUUGGGAAGCUUUGCUUCAGUCACGUCCCCCAGGGGGUCAGGGGAACUGAGAGUGGGAAGAGGGCUGAGUCCAGCUCUCUCGCACUGCGGGCGGCGACAGGUGGCUGAGGAAAGUUGUGGCGCAGCAUCCGGUGCUGCUUAGACCCAGAAGACUCUCGAGACCCACCCCCCAUCUGCUGGGCCAGAACAUUGGAGCACCACGCCUAGAGACCUCAUCACACAGGCUGGCUGCAGGGCCACAGGCUCCUGGACCCCUUUGUGCGAAAAGCAUGCAGAUGUCACUGGUCUGUGUAGCCACCAAGUUAUCCAGGGAUGUCUAUUGUUGAGGCUUUGGAGAGGCUUUGGAGGUGGAGCAGGAAGCCAGGCAGGCUGGGAGGGGGUGACUCCACUGCAGGCUCCAGAGCGCUCAGAACUUCCCUGAGUCACCCCCUUCCCCACAGCCACCCCGGGUGCGGGAAGAUAAUUCUGCUGAAGCUACAAGCCCCUAAGCACCCUUUAGGUUUCUGUUCUGGCCUCACUGGUCAUCACUGUCAUCACACGGACCAGCGCCACCUCCCGCCCACCUUAGCGCUUCUCUCUAGAGAACGAGUUUCUGUCAAAGUCCUGUCUCCUUGUUAAACUUCAGAAAACACCUUGUCCAAGCACCCUUGUGCUGUUGCCUGUGUGACCCCCUCUUCUGGGUUCAUCAGUAUUGUGUCCUGUGAUGACCAACCAUUCUUAGCUUGCUGGGGAGCUGGAAGGGCAUUUCUAGACCAGUUUACCUGUGGGCCUCAUGGGGCUGGGGCCCCAGAAUGAACUAAAAAGCAGCAUCUGGGACUGGGGCGACAGCACUGGCUGCUCUUCCAAAGGACCUGAGCUUGAUCCCCCACACUGCAGCUCACCACCAUCUGUGACUCCAGUGCCAGAGGAGUGCACACAGGCACACAUGCAGGCAAAACAUCCACACACAUAAAUAAUAAACUUAAAGAGGGGGUGGGGAAGCAAGCCGAAUGUCUACGUUUGUAACUCUCUGCUUCCCAACCGUGGACAAAAUGAAACAAUUCAUCUCACACUUUUGUCUCCAGCUGGACCCACUGUGCCCCCUCAGACUGUGAACCAAAAGAAACCCUUCCUCUCUCAAGCUGAUUUUGUAUUUUGUCAUAACAAUGAGUAGUAGUAGUAGUAGUAGUAGUAGUAGUAGUAGUAGUAGUAGAGUAGUAGUACUAGUAGUGGUGGUGGUGGUUGUGGUGGUGGUGGUGGUGGUGGUAAGAAGGGGAGGGGGAGAAGGAGAAAAAGAAGACCUAACACAGGGCUUAUGCACAAACAGGCAGCUAGAAGUGUUGUCACAGCACGCUGUGCCAGGAGGUCACCCGAGUUGGUUACAGUUGCUGCGGAUAAAUCCCAGGAUCUCCUGUCCCCAUCCCAGAAGCAUCACCAUGUGGGCUGAGUUAUAUUCAGGUGGAAUCACAACAUGGGCGUGGGUUGUGUCUACCAGGUGCUUUCGUCUUGUUGGCGCCUGCCAACCACUUCUUGGGCCUUGUGCUCUCAUAUGAGGACAUUUUUCUUUUUUUUUUUUCUUUUCUUUUUCUUUUUUUUUUUUUCAGAGCUGGGGACUGAACCCAGGACCUUGCUCUUGCUAGUCAAGCGCUCUACCACUGAGCUAAAUCCCCAACCCCGUAUGAGGACAUUCUUGAUAAAGUUUCUUCAUCCCUGUCAGUGGGACAAAUGACACACGACUGGGCCACACCACCUGGGUGGCUUCCAGGGAGCUCGCACAGUCAGCUGCACUUAUUCCCCCGAGUGGCCUGGGGGUGACAGCUCUGUGUGCAUGCCUGUAACCUGCAUGUACAGGUGCGUGCAUGGGAGCAGUGGGCGGGUGUGCGCUAAUGCUUGCAUCUCUGCAGGCAAUGCUGGGUGUCUUCCUUGUUGGAGAUGACGUCUCACCUAAGCCCCUACUGGCUAGAGGGUUAUACACGUCUGCAUUGCUACAUGUGUAAGUGGAUGUCAGGCAUCAAGCCUGCUGAAGCCUGUUCCUGUUAACAUAACUGUAGCCAUUUUGUAUCCAUUCUUGGCUUAGCUCAAAAGGCUCCAUAGCUGACACUGAGAAACUCUCUUAAAAGGCUGUAAAGGUGGGGAUUUGGGUAAAAGGGGUGGUUUGUAUUACUCAUGCCUGGGCACCUCUAUGCUCUGAAAGUCCCCUGUACACCACACCGUCCACCAUCCCUAUUACCCCACUCAGGGCUGAUCAGCUCAAAAGUCUGCCAGUGAUACUUUGUCUAGUUAGUCAAACCUGUAGUACUGACCCCCCCCUUUCUCUCCCCCUUUAACUCUGAACUUCUGAACCUGGUUUUUCCUAUGCAGAGCCUGUCCCUAAGAACAGACUGGCGCCACAGUCAGGCUCCCGAGUCCUUUUCUGCAGACCUGACAGAUCAGUCUUGGAGUGUGCAUUCAAUAGUGAGCUGUCUUGGCUUAGUCAAGAUCAAUGUCCGGAUGGUCUUGUGUGUCGAGCACUUUCCCACUGAACCAUCUCCGGGCCCCUGCCUCCAUAAACCUUCUGUGUCCCCUAAUGAAAACUGCUAUUCCUCCCUCCUCUCUCCCCUCUUUCUUACGUGAAAGUCUUAGAAACUUGUUUUAGAUUCUCAUUCUCCUAUCGCUUCUGUGGCCUCUUGAGUAGCUCGGAGCCUGGAGCCCCGGUGGGGUGCUCAGCCCAUCCAAGCCCAGAGCCGCUCACUCAGCAUCAGAGCUCGACAGUGCAUCUCACACAUGACUGGAAGGAGGAUUUGUUUGCCCCCCCAGGGGGGGUCCAUCCUGGGUUGGGAGGCUUUCUUGGCUAAGCGGCCUGGUCUCUGGCAGCAGGAGUUUACAGGCAAUGCGUCUCAAGAGGCUGAUCUGGAACCAGGGCAGGAAUAAAAACUUCUAAGGCCCCCA